CCUACGGGGGGCAGCAGUGGGGAAUAUUGCACAAUGGGGGAAACCCUGAUGCAGCAACGCCGCGUGAGUGAAGAAGUAUUUCGGUAUGUAAAGCUCUAUCAGCAGGGAAGAAAAUGACAGUACCUGACUAAGAAGCCCCGGCUAACUACGUGCCAGCAGCCGCGGUAAUACGUAGGGGGCAAGCGUUAGCCGGAUUUACUGGGUGGAAAGGGAGCGUAGACGGCUGCGCAAGUCAGAAGUGAAAGCCCCGGGGUUAACCGCGGGAAUGCUUUUGAAACUGUGUAGCUAGAGUGCAGGAGAGGUAAGUGGAAUUCCUAGUGUAGCGGUGAAAUGCGUAGAUAUUAGGAGGAACACCGGUGGCGAAGGCGGCUUACUGGACUGGAACUGACGUUGAGGCUCGAAAGCGUGGGGAGCAAACAGGAUUAGAUACCCGAGUAGUC
rnacentral:rRNA from 1 species